rnacentral:rRNA from 1 species
AACGAACGCUGGCGGCAUGCCUAACACAUGCAAGUCGAACGAGACCUUCGGGUCUAGUGGCGCACGGGUGCGUAACGCGUGGGAAUCUGCCCUUAGGUUCGGAAUAACUUCGGGAAACUGAAGCUAAUACCGGAUGAUGACGUAAGUCCAAAGAUUUAUCGCCUAAGGAUGAGCCCGCGUUGGAUUAGCUAGUUGGUGAGGUAAAGGCUCACCAAGGCGACGAUCCAUAGCUGGUCUGAGAGGAUGAUCCAGCCACACUGGGACUGAGACACGGCCCAGACUCCUACGGGAGGCAGCAGUGGGGAAUAUUGGACAAUGGGCGAAAGCCUGAUCCAGCAAUGCCGCGUGAGUGAUGAA